GGUUUCGCAGUGCACACACGGGGAGCUUGUUCCCAGAGGUCCUGCGAGGAAAGUCCCCGUGCCUUGGUGCAGAGAGUGCGAGUGGGAGACCGCAGGGCUUGAGCCAAACCUCCAGUGGUGAUGCUCCUUGCAGACGUGCCAGACCUCCAGUGGUAAUGCUUCUCGCGGAGCCUUGGUGGCUGGCUCGGGCCCUUCGCAUCAGCACAGACAUGCCGUGAGCGCUCACGCCACGUAUGACUGGAGCGCCAACAGAACGGGGCU
rnacentral:RNase_MRP_RNA from 14 species